rnacentral:rRNA from 1 species
GAUGAACGCUGGCGGCGUGCCUAAUACAUGCCAGUCGAGCGAACGGACGAGAAGUUUGCUCCCCUGAUGUUAGCGGCGGACGGGGGAGUAACACGUGAAUAACCUACCUAUAAGACUGGGAUAAUUUCGGGAAACCGGAGCUAAUACCGGAUAAAUUUUUGAACCGCAUGGUCCAUAAGUGAAAGACGGUCUUGCGGUCACUUAUAGAUGGAUCCGCGCUGCUUUAGCUAGUUGGUAAGGUAACGGCUUACCAAGGCAACGAUGCAUAGCCGACCUGAGAGGGUGAUCGGCCACACUGGAACUGAGACACGGUCCAGACUCCUACGGGAGGCAGCAGUAGGGAAUCUUCCGCAAUGGGCGAAAGCCUGACGGAGCACCGCCGCGUGAGUGAUGAAGGUCUUCGGAUCGUAAAACUCUGUUAUUAGGGAAGAACAUAUGUGUAAGUAACUGUGCACAUCUUGACGGUACCUAAUCAGAAAGCCACGGCUAACUACGUG